rnacentral:rRNA from 1 species
GGCGUGCUUAACACAUGCAAGUCGAACGAAGCCCUCGGGCUUAGUGGCGGACGGGUGAGUAACGCGUGAGAAUCUACCUUCGAGAUGGGGACAACCGUUGGAAACGACGGCUAAUCCCCAAUAAGCCGAAAGGUGAAAGGGUUUCCGCUCGCAGAGGAGCUCGCGUCCGAUUAGUUAGUUGGUGGGGUAAGAGCCUACCAAGGCAGCGAUCGGUAGCUGGUCUGAGAGGAUGAGCAGCCACACUGGGACUGAGACACGGCCCAGACUCCUACGGGAGGCAGCAGUGGGGAAUUUUCCGCAAUGGGCGCAAGCCUGACGGAGCAACGCCGCGUGUGGGAAGAAGGCUCUUGGGCUGUCAACCACUUUUCUCAGGGAAGAAGUCCUGACGGUACCUGAGGAAUCAGCCUCGGCUAACUCCGUGCCAGCAGCCGCGGUAAUACGGAGGAGGCAAGCGUUAUCCGGAAUUAUUGGGCGUAAGGCGUCCGCAGGGGGCACUUCAAGUCUGCUGUCAAAGGUCGGAGCUUAACUCCGGUUCGGCAGUGGAAACUGGAGUGCUAGAGGGCGACAGGGGUAGAGGGAAUUCCCAGUGUAGCGGUGAAAUGCGUAGAGAUUGGGAAGAACACCGGUGGCGAAAGCGCUCUACUGGGUCGCACCUGACCCUCAGGGACGAAAGCUAAGGUAGCGAAAGGGAUUAGAUACCCCUGUAGUCUUAGCCGUAAACGAUGGAUACUAGGCGUGGUUUGUAUCGACCCAAGCCGUGCCGAAGCUAACGCGUUAAGUAUCCCGCCUGGGGAGUACGCACGCAAGUGUGAAACUCAAAGGAAUUGACGGGGGCCCGCACAAGCGGUGGAGGAUGUGGUUUAAUUCGAUGCAACGCGA